GAUUCAUGAUCGCCUCCUCCGUGAAACGUUAACGAAAUUCUCGUUUCAAAUUACACGUCCACCCAGCAUUACAACGACCUUCACAGUCUCCUCUCCUUUCUCGUCUCACAAACACACGCACAUCCUUCCCCACCCCCCACCUCUCCUCUCUCUGGAUUCCAUUGUCCGAAUUUAUUUUUUUUUUUUAUUUUUUUGCGCUUGAUACCAAAUCUGUUGAUGCCAAAAUGUCAUUCUCGGAUUCCGAUUCGUCUUCUCAUGGCGGAGCCACAGAGUACAAAACUUUCCGGCAGAUCAGCCGUGACCGAUUGUUGUAUGAAAUGCUUUGCUCAACGAAAACAGGGGAUUCAAAGUCAACUUGGAAGGUACUCAUCAUGGAUAAAGUUACCGUCAAAGUCAUGUCUCACUCGUGUAAAAUGGCAGACAUUACAGACCAAGGAGUUUCACUGGUCGAAGACCUCUUCAGGAGAAGGCAACCCUUGCCAUCCAUGGAUGUUAUUUAUUUCAUCCAGCCCUCAAAAGAAAAUGUUGUCAUGUUUUUGUCUGACAUGUCUGGAAGGGAGCCUUUAUACAAAAAGGCGUUUGUAUUUUUCAGUUCACCAAUCCCAAAGGAACUUGUAAAUCACAUCAAGAGUGAUACAAGUGUUGUACCCCGCAUAGGUGCAUUGAGAGAGAUGAAUUUGGAGUAUUUUCCUAUAGAUAACCAGGCUUUUAUCACUGAUCAUGAUAGAGCAUUGGAAGAACUUUUUGGUGAUGUUGAAAACCCUCGCAAGUUUGAGGCUUGCUUGAACGUGAUGGCAACUCGACUUGCUACAGUGUUUGCUUCGUUGAAAGAGCUUCCAUUUGUGUGGUUUCGUACUGCCAAGGCACUUGAUGACUCUCCAACAUCAACAUUUCGUGAUUUAGUUCCUACAAAGCUUGCUGCGGCAGUUUGGAACUCUAUUUCAAUGUAUAAAUCUACCAUUCCCAACUUUCCACAGACUGAAACGUGCGAGCUUCUCAUCUUGGGUAGAUCUGUUGAUCAGAUUGCUCCUGUCAUACAUGAAUGGACUUAUGAUGCAAUGUGCCAUGAUCUGUUGGAUAUGGAGGGAAAUAAAUAUACAUACGAGGUUCCUAGCAAAACAGGCGGUCAAACCGAAAGAAAGGAGGCUCUUAUGGAAGACCGUGAUCCAAUCUGGCUCGAGCUUCGUCAUGCACACAUAGCAGAUGCUAGUGAACGUUUGCAUGAGAAGAUGACCAAUUUCGUAUCAAAGAACAAAGCUGCACAAAUCCAACAAAGUGGAAGGGAUGGAAGCGAAUUGUCUACACGAGACUUGCAGAAAAUGGUUCAAGCUUUACCACAAUACACUGAGCAAGUUGAAAAGAUUUCUCUCCAUGUGGAGAUUGCAGGAAAAAUUAACAGAAUCAUCAGAGAAACGGGACUUCGAGAGCUUGGGCAACUAGAGCAGGAUCUAGUUUUUGGAGAUGCGGGAGCCAAGGAUGUGAUCAAUUUUCUGAGGACAAAGCAGAAUGAAACUCCUGAAAAUAAGUUGCGUUUAUUAAUGAUUUAUGCGUCUGUCUAUCCUGAGAAGUUCGUUGGUGACAGAGGUUUAAAGCUAAUGCAGCUGGCAAGAUUAUCACGCGAGGACAUGAAGGUGGUAAAUAAUAUGCAAUUGAUAGGGGGAUCAUCAGAUGAUAAAAAGACAACUGGUAGCUUCUCACUCAAGUUCAAUACCCAGAAGACAAAGCAAGCAACAAGAAAAGAUCGCUCUAAUGAGGAAGAAACAUGGCAGCUAUUCCGAUUUUAUCCCAUGGUAGAGGAGCUUAUUGAAAAUCUAAGUAAAGGUGAAUUACCAAAAAAUGAAUUCUCAUGUAUCAACGAGGCAAGUCCAACUGUUCAAGGAGACUCGCAGAGAGCUACCCAGAGAGCACCAGUAGGUCAAGCUUCUGCUCCUUAUUCAAUGAGAUCGAAACGGACUGCAAAUUGGGCACAAACUCGUCAUUCUGACGAUGGAUACUUGACUCAAUUUUAAGAAUUGCAUCCACUGAUUUCAAGAAAAUGGGGCGACGUAUUUUUGUAUUUAUUAUUGGUGGGGCAACUCGAUCUGAGCUACGAGUUUGUCACAAGCUCACAACAAAACUCAGAAGGGAAGUAGUCCUUGGUUCUUCUAGCAUCGAUGACCCUCCUCAAUAUAUUACGAAACUGAAGCUGCUCUCGGAAAGAGAUCUCUCAAUGGAUAGUCUGAAAAUCUAACCAAAAAACAGGCUCCUGCUUAAAACCAGCAGGUUAGUUGUUGGCUCUCUCUCCUUGCAAUUUUUAUUCAAUGUUAGAAAUGCAGUGCUUGUUGAUACAUGGGAGAGCUGCACAACGCUUCUUGUUUUGGUUUUUUUACCCCCCACAGAAUCAAGGCCUGACACGCGAAGGAAAAAUUUAACCAGUUCAGUAAUGCGUUGUGCUUUUUCCUCAAAAACCGUGGCCUUCUCGUGGUGGCAAAGAGACAUGGUGAGAAAGGUGGCUUGUUCCAACGUUUCUAACCGAGUGCAUUCUACCGCAGAGCAUUCAAGAAUAUUGAGUCAAUUGUGUUGCAGUAGCAUUUAAACUGCGUUUCUUACACCUGUAUAUGAAACUUUCCCUUUAGCUUCGCAUUUUGUAUGACCUCGGUUUCCAGUCUAGGGGCUGAACUGAAUGGUAUAAAGUAGUGUAUUUGUGCUGAAAAUUUUGGACGGAUGGAAAAUUGAAAAUAAGUUUAGGGAGAGAAGCUGGGCAAAGGCAAGUCGAGUUGCCAUGACACAGUGGCAAGUUGUCCAUUUGCCAUGUGUUUUGAGAUAUUCUUCGAUUGUAGUUGGCAUUGAAGGAUUGUCUCGCAUGGUAUACCUGGAAGAAUGAUUGACAUUCUUUCACAAAUCCUAAUUUUUAUUGUUA